rnacentral:misc_RNA from 1 species
CUGCGGCGAUCGGAGCCACGCGCUAGAUCCAACACCCUCACCGGAAUCGUUGCGGAUUCCGGCGCCGGCGGCCCCGCUCCGGAUCUGCAUUCCGUGCAGGGGCUUCUCCUGACCGCCUCGCGCCCUCGUCUCUCCAAUCUAGCCAUGGAGAGGGUUUCAUCAGCUCCAGAAAUGGAUGAUGUUAUCUCAACUGAUCAGUCAAGCAGAUCAACAAAAAGAAGGGCUAAAGUUUGGGAUUAUGUUGAUUCAGAGCUAGUAGAUGGGAAAGAGAAGGCGAUCUGCAAAUACUUUCUGCAAGGUUACCUUAGAAGCACUUAUUUGGUGCCCAAAAGAGGAAUAAAAGAAGGGAAAGUAUCAGGUGCAAAUGAACCAAUUGGUGCAACUAGUGCAACCAAGGCACAAGGAUGGAGGUAG